AUAUAACGUUGAACCACCGGUUCUCGUACGAUCACCAAAGUUAAGCAACGUCGACCCUGAUCAGUACCUAGAUAGAUGACCGCUUGAGACUACCAGGUGCU